UUGAUUAAACAAGUACUUUUAAAUUGGAAACAUUAUAAGAGUUCCUUCGUGAAUAUGACCCCUGCUGAAAGAAUUUGUCAUGUAAUGCUAGUUAUUAGAUGACAUAUAUUCUAUUGUGAAGGUUCUAACGUAUCUCAAUUAACAUGUAAACGAGACUUUGGCUUAAUAUAGAUAUAUGUAGGAAAUAAUAGAUUAACUGAAGGCUCUUCAUUCCUAUAGCAUGUAAAAGUCAUUACCUCAAUAUAUGAACAAGUUUGUGACAGUGUUAUCCUUUGAAUGAUCUAAAUAUUAUUUUUGUUUUCCGUUGUUCUAUGGUGAUACUGUUUUAUUUAAAAGAUAUCAGAUCAUAUCUCAGGUGUUUAAUGCAUAGAAGCACUUGUCCUAACAUCACUAGAAAAGAAACAUAAUGAUUACAAGUGCGAUAAAAAAGGUCAUUAUAUGGAAAAAUAUAGGAUUACAGAUAAUUUGCUAAAAAAUAUACCAAGUCUUAUACUGAGGGAUCAAUGGAGUGAUCUUGUCUUUUUAUUUUUAAUAAAACUAAGGUUUCAAUAAAGCUUGAAAACAUACUUCUAGUUGCAUAUUUUUAUUGAUUUUUUAUUUUAGUUUUGCUCAUUUUUUAUAAUUCAUAUCAUUUUUUGAGGUAUUACUCAUUUUUACUCUUUGAUUUUACUGUUUGAAUUUUCUAUGUGCAAUAACCAACUUUCUAAAGCUGCUUUUAAGCUCACGAUUUUUUAUUAAUGUUGAAAUAGUUUAUAAAUAGGCAGUAAGUAGUCAUCUGAAUACAACUUCAACAUUUAAUUUAAUUCACGAUUAGAAUAUACUCACACACUAGUUUCUACAAAGAGGAUAAUAUCUAAAUCAUUGAGACAAAAGGCUUAUUUUUGUUUCCAUAAAAAUUUGUAUCAUGUGCAGCUAUGCACAAUAGAGUUAAGGGACAUUUAAUAGCUUGAAAUUUUGUGGUAGAGAUUGAAUAUUUGUUGCUGUGAUUUCUUGCAUUUAUUUGGAACCAUACCUGUCAUUUUGUGUUAAUUUGGGUUGUUGAUUCGUCAUCUUAUUUUGCUUCAUUAGUCCUGCCUAUUUACAAAGUCAGGUUGUUUAUGAAGCAAUUAAAGGUAAACAUUUGUGAUUAAUAUUACUUAUUCUUAUCCUUUGGUGCUACUAUUUGAGUUUUCCUCAUUCCUUUGGCUCGCUGCAAGAAUACAACCUGACAGCAGUAAAAGACAUUAGAAGCAGCAGUAACACAUUCAAGCAGAUAGUUUAAUAUCUAGUAUUAACCAUGAAAAAUAAUAACAUUUAGAUAAAGUGCAUGAAAAUUAGAGACCUAAGUAUGACUAACAACUGUGUGUAAUAUUUAUCUAAUUUGAAACGAUAAGCACGGAAGUCAAGUGUCUAACUGACUACAUAGUGACAUGCCACCUCUUUUGUUCAGUACUUCUUAUUUUACUCUACUGGUGUCGAAUUGGUAUUUUAUUUGCAUUUCUCCUAAGAUUUUCUGUAAUUUCAUGGUUAGUAUAUACCUGAUAGUAGCAUGUAGUUAAAUCCUGCUUCUCUUUUGAGAGAUAAGUUUUUGUUCCAAAUUGCUUAUUAUUAUUAUCUAGUGGUUUUUUUCUGUUUCAAAUAAUAUACCUCUUCUGACCCUAAUCAAUUGAUAUAGGAAGAGCUUGAGGUCAUUGUGAUUGGUGUUGGUGAGUUUAUUGUAAUCUAUAGUUGUGAUAUGAUAUAGCCACUAACUCACCAUAUUUUUAUAUAUUACAUUUCAUUUUUUGACACAUUUAUUUUAUUAUUUUAGGUCAUAGAGCUUGAUGUUCAAAAAAUUUCCUUGUAGAAGAUUUCAAUAUAAACCAGAGUUGUGGAAAUUAUUUGAAGACAUCAUUUGACAUGAUCAGUUGUAUAAUAACAUUAGUUAUUGUGACACUAUAUUUUGGAUUAGUACUUUGUUUUAUUUGUGUGGGUUUGAUGGGAUGUAUUAUGUUUUAUGAAUUAAUAAAAAUAUAUAUAUUAGCAUUUAUCAAACUUCUUUGA
rnacentral:lncRNA from 1 species